rnacentral:misc_RNA from 1 species
AUUCUCCUCUUUUUUUUUUUUUUUAAGAUAAUUUUACUUCUAGUUUACAGAGAAAAUUUAGAAAAGAAAAAGUUUGAAUUAUAAAACAUUUGGCUUUUUUAAUUUAUCAUUGGCUGUUGGUGUUUGCUUCUGCUUGCUUUUCUAUGCCCUGGUUUUCCUUGUUUCAUAUUCUGUUCUUUUUAGUUUUUUCUCUAAUAACUAGCAAUAAAUAAGAUUCUCGAGAUUAGAGUCUGAGACAAAGACCCCAGGACUCUAUUCAAGCUCUUUCUGAACUUGGGUUUUUCAUAAACAGUGAGAGGUUGUGUUGUGUGAGAAACAAACCGUCUCGCUAUCAUUCUGAUGAAGGAGAGAGGAG